AAGUUUGAAACAAAAAUUUGUAUUCAGUUUCGACCUGAAAUUCUAGUUAAUUUUAACUCUAACUUU
rnacentral:tRNA from 1 species